rnacentral:rRNA from 1 species
AGGGAGCUUGCUCCCUGUAGUUAGCGGCGGACGGGUGAGUAACACGUGGGUAACCUGCCUGUAAGACUGGGAAACUCCGGGAAACCGGGGCUAAUACCGGAGCUUGUUUGAACCGCAUGGUUCAAACAUAAAAGGUGGCUUCGGCUACCACUUACAGAUGGGACCCGCGGCGCAUUAGCUAGUUGGUGAGGUAAUGGCUCACCAAGGCAACGAUGCGUAGCCCGACCUGAGAGGGUGAUCGGCCACACUGGGGACUGGAGACACGGCCCAGACUCCUACGGGAGGCAGCAGUAGGGAUUCUUCCGCAUGGACGAAA